rnacentral:rRNA from 1 species
CGUGUAGGCGGCUUAGUAAGCGGAGUGUGAAAGCCCGGGGCUCAACCCCGGAACUGCACUCCGAACUGCUGAGCUAGAGAGCGAGAGAGGGCUGUGGAACUCUAGGUGGAGCGGUGAAAUGCGUAGAUAUCUAGAGGAACACCGGUGGCGAAGGCGACAGCCUGGCUCGUUUCUGACGCUGAGGCGCGAAAGCGUGGGUAGCAAACAGGAUUAGAUACCCUGGUAGUCC